GGUCAAAUUAUAAUAAAACAAGCUAAAAAUUAAUUGAAAAUAUGCUAUAAUAGAACAUGGUUAAUGCCAAACAUAAUUUGUAUUUUCUCAUUGCAGAGAAACAUAUAAAGAUUAAAAUUAUAACAUGUUGAAAGUAAGGCACAUCAAAUAAAUAAAUUAUAAAUAAAAUAUUUUGCAUUCAUAUUUGAAAACUUGAGGGAAAACACAUUGAAAUUUGUAAGAAAAGUCUAAAAAUUUAUAUCCAACAGUAUCACUAUAGUUAUCCAAUGUUUAGUUACAAAAAUGAGAAGUUUCAUAUACAAAAUGCAAUAUCAUGACAAUGAUCUGGUUUGUGUGUAGUUCUUUAUACUGGUUUUCAUUUUUAUGUUUAAUGCACAUCAAAGAACUUAGCAUUAUUACACCAAAACUUAGGUUACCAUUACUUCAAAUAUGGAGUGGCAAAACCACUGAUAAAAUCUAAUGUGUGAUAAACACUAAUCAAAAAAGUCAGCCAAUUGCUAUACACACUGAAAUCAAUCUUGCAUUGGAAAUUAAGUUGUUUAUACCAUAAACAACACUUUAAAAAAAAAUGUUAACCACUGAUGAAAUCUAAGUUGAUAUAACACUAAAUCAAAAAGUGAUUUUUAUGGGCAAAAAAUGCAUUUUGGUCGCAUUAAUUUACACUGUGGAUUAACUUAUUUUGAGGACACUUCAUUUCUGGGUUUUGACAAAUUUUUCAUUAUGUUGAGAGAAAAUAUGUAUUUUGUUGAACACUUAAAAUCUUGGUGUAUAUACACCUUGAAAAUGUCAGAAUGGCUCAGAAUCCAUAGUAAAGUAAUCCAAAUGCAACAGUGAUAAAUUCAAAUUAAACAUAAAUAUAACUGGUUUUAAGUCGCAGUGUCUAAAAACAAAAAUAUGCAAUGAUAACUAACAAAACUCUGUACAUAUACAUACAUACACAAUUGCCAUUUAUAUAAUUUUUUGUGCAAUAUUCAAUACACUGAAAACAUGAUCAAACAAACAAGCAGAACUCACCAACACAUUGUGUAGUUAUAGAACUCACCUUCACACAUUUAGGUUUAAUUAGCAUACACAAAUUAUGUUUUGAACAUAAAAUAUAUUCAUUCUCUCAUCCUUCAUCUUAAAUUCCUUUUUAAACUAAAAAAAAAUGUGUUAUUCACUUUGUACAUUAUUGCUGGCUUUUGAAAGAUAUAGCUAUAUGAAACCGAGAAAAUUAUGUCUCUAGAGUUUUAAGCUGCCCUUAUGAGUUAUAACUCAGAAAAUAUAAUUUGUCUAUAUUUUUACAGGUCAACAAGCAAUCUGAAUUAUAACGUCUGUCAAAUCCAUUUUUUCUUAAGUUUAUCAUAAAGUACCAUUGUGUAUGUCUUAAGGGGGUUCGCGGGUCUAAAUCAUUUAUAUAGGAUUUUUCUUUAUUUUUCUAUAAAUGAACUUUAUCUUAUAGUUAAUAGAAAAAUAAAAUAAAAAAGUGGGGUCACCGUUCAUUUGCACUCACAAUCUGCCUUCGAAAGAAGCAUACAUUUUUGUAAAGGUGUUUUUUUUCUGUUGAAGUAAUAGGAGAAAUAAAGGUAAUAUCGAAAUAAAAAAAGAAAUUAAUUACAGAAAUCUCUCAAAUUUUACAAUAAUUUAGUUUAAGUACAGCUUAUAUGGAAAUUAUAUUAAAAAAGAUAGGUCACCGAUAAGUUGAAAAAGAUAUUUCAAUUUUAAAGCCAAAAAAAUGGCAUUUUUCCACCAAAGGGAGAUAAUUUGGAACUUUU
rnacentral:lncRNA from 1 species